rnacentral:rRNA from 1 species
UAGAGGAAGUAAAAGUCGUAACAAGGUCUCCGUUGGUGAACCAGCGGAGGGAUCAUUACUGAGUUUACGCUCUACAACCCUUUGUGAACAUACCUAUAACUGUUGCUUCGGCGGGUAGGGUCUCCGUGACCCUCCCGGCCUCCCGCCCCCGGGCGGGUCGGCGCCCGCCGGAGGAUAACCAAACUCUGAUUUAACGACGUUUCUUCUGAGUGGUACAAGCAAAUAAUCAAAACUUUUAACAACGGAUCUCUUGGUUCUGGCAUCGAUGAAGAACGCAGCGAAAUGCGAUAAGUAAUGUGAAUUGCAGAAUUCAGUGAAUCAUCGAAUCUUUGAACGCACAUUGCGCCCGCCAGCAUUCUGGCGGGCAUGCCUGUUCGAGCGUCAUUUCAACCCUCAAGCUCUGCUUGGUGUUGGGGCCCUACAGCCGAUGUAGGCCCUCAAAGGUAGUGGCGGACCCUCCCGGAGCCUCCUUUGCGUAGUAACUUUACGUCUCGCACUGGGAUCCGGAGGGACUCUUGCCGUAAAACCCCCAAUUUUCCAAAGGUUGACCUCGGAUCAGGUAGGAAUACCCGCUGAACUUAAGCAUAUCAAUA